UACGAACUGUGCGAACGUUAUUCGGAAUCACUGGGCUUACAGGGUGCGUAGGCGGCUUGUGAAGUUGGGUGUGAAAGCCCCCGGCUUAACCGGGGAAUUGCGCCCUAAACUGGCGAGCUGGAGUGAGAUAGGGGUGUGUGGAACUUCCGGUGGAGCGGUGAAAUGUGUUGAUAUCGGAAGGAACGCCUGUGGCGAAAGCGACACACUGGAUCUUGUCUGACGCUGAGGCACGAAAGCCAGGGGAGCGAACGGG
rnacentral:rRNA from 1 species